UAUUUGAACAAAAAAUAAUGAAUGAAAUGAUCUUGAAAUGUUCUUAACGCUUGGACACAUUAUAUGAGAACAAACAAUUUUUGUCUCAAAUGUCAUUAUUUUGGCAUGUAUGCACAUAGAAAAUAUUGCGUAGACUGGAAAUUAUCUCAAAAAGUAUUCAUGUAAUUAACAUUAAGAAGACUGUCGACAAAAGAAGCUCAAAUAUCGUUAUACUUAAUAAAUUUAAACCAGAUGCAGUAUUUUCUUUUACAUUGUCACAAUUUUUCAAAUUUUUCAAAGUAUUACAAGUCAUCCCAUCAAUCCUAUAAAUUUGUAAUACCUAAUUGAGUUAUUUUGACCUAAUAAACCCAGUAGUGAACAUGGUAUAAAUAUAGUAAACUGGUCUGUAAAUAAUAAAUGGAGUAAUCAAUGAGUUGAUCUCCACUAUGAAGGGGUUUUAACCCCGACACGCCUGUAAAAGGAGGAGACCAACUAUAGACAAUGAACGAGAUGGUCGAGGUGGUAGUCGGAGGUGAGAGCGGGUUUGAAGUGUGACAUGAUGAGGAAGGGGGGAUGUUGAUUGGAAAGGGUUGAUGGUCGUUGAGCUUGAGACGAAGGAGGUUGGCGUGAAAGGGGUGUAAGGGACGAUGUACCAGGGUUGGUAUAGGAUAGAAGGUCGACAGGUGGCUCAGACCACUAUUGUUGGCCACUUUGCAACAAUUGUUUUGGUCCACGUCCACUAAAGAUGUCCGCUAAAGACUUUAUUAUUUUUAUAAAGAAUUUCUGAAGAAAAUGGAGAAUUCUGUGCAUUUAUAAAUUAUAUAUACUUACCACAAAGCUCAAAUACUGUUGUAAGUAAUAAAUCAAAACUGGAUAUACAGUUUGAAAUAGACAAUAUAGAGAAUGAAUGACAAAGAGAUCAAUUAAAGAUGCAAUGUAUCUUCCAGUGUAUCUUACCAAUAAAAUGGAUAUAAGAUAACACAGAAGAUCACAGUUGAACAAUGACUUAUGAUUGCAGGAAUUUUGAUUCUUCUUUCAUUGCAAAGGAUCACUCAAUCAGUACUAAAAUUGUUGCUUGUUUUUAUUCUAUAUUAUAUUUGUGCGAUAUUGCCAGAAUGCCAGUACAAUGGUUAGUAAUAAAAAAAUGUGAAAAAAUUGCGUACAAAGAAAAAAAUGUGCACCAGUAUUGAGACAUGAUAAAUCACUUGGAUAGCUUCCAUUGGACAGUCUCAAUUAUUUUAUGGAAAAAUUUGGCUACAUAAUAUAAGAAAUUAAUUACCGUAUCAACGUAUAGUCUCUGAAAUCAAUUACAAUUUUUUCCUUCGCAAUUCCUUAGUAUUGUUAAUAAUAAUAACAAACAUACAAACAUUCGAUUGAAUUAUUUACUUUAUCUUAUUGUCUAAGCUACAUUAGGAAAUGAUUUUUCAAACUAAUUAUAAUGGUAAAAAUGAAUGAAUCGCAUGACAGGAUAGUACAAUUGCGUUUUGUAAGCAUACACUUUGCAUGUUUUCCAUGUCAUUGAGUUACAAAAAUUUUAUAGUGACUAGAUUCUUAUGCUGGUAAUUCAUCCACUGAAAGUUAGAAAAAAUGCAAUGAACUGUAAACAAAAGGAAAGGGACAUUGCUGCGUGUUAUUAAAUUCAGUAUUCUUGAAACAUUCCUUUAAACUAAUAGAAAGAAAAAAUGCACUUUCUUAUCGAUGUCCAGCUUAUCCGUGCUUGCAUUACUUUUGUUUUUUGUUUACUACAGGUAAAAAAUAGCGCACACUUUUUGCGCGUUUCCCAUUUCAAUGCAAGUCCGAAUAAACGGACGGGAGAUUAAAAUUACCAGCGAACAAAAAUUUUUCGCAGAUGGUGUCGUUUUUCUUUUAAGUGUCUCAAGUAUCCGUUUCUUGUCUACCCAAGCGAUCAUGCGAACAUAGCCGUAAAAUCUGUACGACGUAAUCAACAGAAAACGUUAAAACGAAGUAAAUAUAUAUUCGCGUUUCGUAAAAUCGAUCAAUGAAAUGCACAUUUUUUACUGUAAGCCAUUCUCGUUUGUUGUCUUUUUUUCAAAUGUCAGAUAAUCGUUUAUCAAUAUUCCUUUUUAUUAUUAUUAUUAUUAUAUAUAAUUCGACGCUAUAAUAUUUACAGUUUCUUCACAUUGUAAAAAAUAUAACGUAUUUCGUACUCAAUAUCAUACGCAGGUAGUACUGAAAGGCCGAUAUACAUCUAAAUCGUGGUGUUUUUCGAAUUAAUGUGACCCAGUUGCGUAACAAAUCUGCAUGUAUACAUAUAUAUUGUAUAAUAUAUAUAUAUAUAUUUAUUUAUAUUUAUAUUUAUAUUUAUAUUUAUAUUUAUUCAUUCAUUUAUUCAUUUAUUUAUAUCUAAUUAUAAAAUCGUAUGGGAAUCGUUUGUAGAUGGUGAAUUUUUGUGCUUUCUUUUGCUACGUAUCAUUUUUUUUUCGAAAAAUCGGAAGGAUUUGCUGGCCGAAACGAGGAACUAAAUCGAAACGAACCUGGUCCUUCACGCUGAUAUGCUGACUCGGAGACAAUAUAACUCGAUUCUCUGAUCCCGUAGAUAGCUUUCCACGUAAUAGACAAAUUUUGCCUUUUGUCUCGUACGAAAGUUUCAGCGCGUGCUUUAGAAAAAUAUUCUUAAACGCGAUCCUCGUGUCGGAUAAACACGCGUGUACUCGUGUAUACGUAUGCAUAUUUGUGUGCGUUACGUUUAGAAGCGAUACAAAUAUAGAAACUUCUUUUUUCUUCCUUAUCCCGUGCACCGGAGGGAAUACUACUUGGAGAGCUAUCCACGGGACAGAUAAUAAGCGACCUUUCUGUUUUCUUUUCUUUUCUUUCCUGUUUUUUUUUUUUUUGCCCUUUGCCAAUCCAUGGUUUUCGCGAAGCACAAAAAACCCAGGAGGGCAGAAAAACGUAACGAUAAUAGAGCGAGAGCGAUUACACGUUUCACAAAGAGGCCCUUUGAUUCGCCGUUGAAAGGCUUUUAUACGCGGUUAUUAUCGUCGUCUUUUAAUAGAAAAACUGCGGUUACAUCUACGGGAUCACAGCGAGACUACGAAUUUUCCGGGGUGGUGAUAAAAUAGUGGAUACGAAUAAUUCUGUUGCCCCCUUUCCCUCCCCUCACCAUCCCUUUCUUCCUUGCCUGUUUUUAGUUUGAGUACAGUAACGAAAUGGAUGGCCGAUUUUCGCUACGUCGGUAUACGCUACGUCAAUCUUAAACUGACGAAACGUAUUAGCACCCUUCAUCAAUCGAACACGCGAGGCUAUCUCGUACUUUUUCUGUUUUCGCUAAUUUUCUUUCACCACUACGCACGACCAAUGAUAACUCGAACCAAUUAAAAACAGAGUGACUAUUUAUCGAAACUGUCUAGUAAUUACGAAAUAAAGAAAGCGCGAAUAAAGAAAAAUGGACAAGUGUUGAACUCUAGAAUUAACAUUAAUCUACUAUUGGAAAUUUCAAUUGGUAUAGAAUAUUCAAUUUCAUUACGUCUCAAGACACGUUUCCAUGCAACAAGUAUCGUAAAGCGAUUUUACGAAAUUAGAAAAAACACCCAGCCACGCGUACUCGCUACGAAAUGACGUUAUUAAAAGUGCACCGACAAUUGGAAACGAAUUAACGUACGAUCGAUAGCUCUUCCCAAGAACAAUAUCGUCGGACACUUCUAACUACCAAUGAUAGAAAUACUGUACAUCAGUUCAUUUUAAACUUUUCAGUUCGACUUUAAGGUCCUCCGAUACGCUUUGAUAAGGGAAGCGUCAUCGCUCGUGUAUAAUUCAACAUCGUAAUCGAUCCGAAAGACGCGUAAAUCUAGACGAACAAGUAGAUAUUGUACAAACUAUAAAUACAUUCUUUUUUUUUUUU